AAAUUGAAGAGUUUGAUCAUGGCUCAGGUUGAACGCUGGCGGCAGGCCUAACACAUGCAAGUCGAACGGUAACAGGAAACAGCUUGCUGUUUCGCUGACGAGUGGCGGACGGGUGAGUAAUGUCUGGGAAACUGCCUGAUGGAGGGGGAUAACUACUGGAAACGGUAGCUAAUACCGCAUAACGUCGCAAGACCAAAGAGGGGGACCUUCGGGCCUCUUGCCAUCGGAUGUGCCCAGAUGGGAUUAGCUUGU
rnacentral:rRNA from 1 species